CAGCCGAAUCUGGUGUCAAAUUUGGAUUUGGGUCAAUCUUGUAGGUGAGAAAUGGAGUCUUGGGGUGGUUUUGGUUUGCAUUUCUCUCUCUCUUUUUUUUUUUUAAUCAUUUUCUUGAUUUUCCAAACUCAUGAGCUCGUUUGAAUAAGGAAUAUUAAUCCUAAUAUUUCUCAUUUUAAGUUAUAAUUUUUAUUGAGGUAAAAUAUACAUAAAACAACAUUUUUAUCAGAGUCCUAUAGAUGGUUAAAAAAAUUCACCAUUUUAACCAUCUCUUAAAGUCUACAAUUUAGCAGCAUUUAAUACAUUCAUAACGUACAACCAUCACUUCUGUGUGCUUCCAAAGCCUUCAUCACGCCAGAAGGAGACCCCGCGCCCGUUCAACACCAUCCCCCCACCCUCAGUCCCCGACAGUCACUGCCCUGCUUCCCACUCAAGUCACCGACACUUUGAAAAUGUGCUAUGUUAUAAAACUUUUUUCCCAGUAUACAUUUUGUCUUUUAUCACUCCUGGGUUUUAAGUCAUAUUUAAGAAGAUUUUGCCCACUCCCCGGUGAUGAAGGAAUUCACUUUUUCCUAGUACUUUUGACCCAUUUGGAAUUUGUCUUAGUGUAUGGUAUGAAGUGCAGAUUCAUUUUCGUCUUUCUCCAAGUGGUUAACGUUUAACCACUUGUAUUAACAAGUCCAUCCUUUCCUCACCGGUAUCAUAUGCUACCUUAUAGACUGAAUGUUCUAGGCACUGGGGUCUGUCCCCGGGUUUUCAUGUCCCUGGGCCUGCUUGCCUACAUGGGUCCUGGUGUCAUGUGGUUCCAUUACGGAGGCCAGGAGAUGGUUCGGGGGCAGAGGACCUCUCCAUUUCUUUUGCAGAGUUUUCCUGGCUAUUUUUACACUCCUGUGCACUUCCUCUCUCACAUGAACUUUAUAAUUAGUUUUCUAGAUCUGGGGAAAAGCAUGCGGCGUUUUUAUAAGGAUUACAUUACAUUUAUAAAUUUACUUUUGUAGAAUUGUCUUGCUUAGGAGAGUUUUCUUAUCCAGGAACAUGGUCUUUCUUUCUGUCUUAAUUCAUUUUCUGUUGCUAUGACUGAAUACCACAGAGUGGGUAAGUUAUAAAGAAAAGAAUUUUAUUUCUUACAGUUCUGGAGGCAGGGAGUCCAAGGUAUAGGAGUUGCAUCUGGUGAGGACCUUCUUGCUGGUCAAGACUCUGCAGUCUCAAGUGGUGCCGGGCAUUAUGUGAGGGUCUCAUGAGAGACGGCAAAGCUGGCUUUUAUAACCAGCCCCCUGGUGAUAACUGCUCCACUCCCUGAGAACCCAUUAGUCCAUGAAUGGAUUAGUCCUCAUGAGCCAAUCACCUCCCCAGAAUCCCAUCCCAGCACUGCUGCAUUGGAGUCCAGGUUUCCAACACAUGAACUUUUGGGGAAUUCAUUCAAACCAUGGUGGUGUUAAAAUCGACUUUGGUGUCUUUAUGGUCUAUUUAAAGUUUUUCCCAUUUAGGGUUUCACAUUUCUUUUACGCAUGGGGAUUUUUAUCUUUUUGUUGCUGUUAAAAAUGGGUCAUCUCUUCCACUCUGUCUUUGAACUGAAAGUAUGCACAAAGAUCUCUGUGUGCUACUUUAAAUCCUGCUGUUUCUCUGAAUUCUCUUAGUGUUUGUAACAUCACUUUCUUGUGCUGGAAAUAUAACAAAGUAUUUGAUCCAAGAAGCAUCUGGCAGGAAGCCUGGGCAGGAGGGGCACCUUGAGCAUGGGCUUCCUCCUCCCCUUUCCUCUGUCUCUUCUCCUACCGGCUGCUUUCCUUCUCUCCCAUCUGCUGUCCACCAGGCAGGCGUUGCCAGACCACCCCAGAGGUCCCCUCUUCAUGUUUCUUGAGGCUGCGUGGGGGGAGGGCAUGAUAGAGGGAGGCAGGGCUUCGAAGGAGGCACUCGGGGGAGGGGGGGGCGAGGAGAGGAUGGGGCAUGCGAGGGGGCCUUGUCCUCCAGCUUUGUCAGAAGCCUAAUGUGCCCUGUGGCCUGAGCUGGCAUCAGACAGGCUUUAAGAGGAGAAUGUCAGCUGGGUGCGGUGGCUCACACCUGUAAUUCUAGCACUUUGGGAGGCCGAGGUGGGUGGAUCCCUUGAGGUCAGGAGUUCGAGACCAGCCUGGCCAACAUGGCAAAACCCCAUCUCUAUGAAAAAUAGAAAAAUUAGCCAGGCGUGGUGGCAGGCGCCUGUAAUUCCAGCUACUCAGGAGGCUGAGGCACAAGAAUCACUUGAACCCGGGAGGCAGAGGUUGCAAUGAGCCAAGACUGCGCCACUGCACUCCAGCCUGGGCGACAGAGUGAGGUCCUAAAAAGGGAAGAAUAUCGCUGCAUCAGAAAGCAGGAAGGUGGGGCCUGCCCGGGGCCAUGGCCCUGCAAUGAGUUUGGCCCAGAGGCACAGACAGACAGGAGACCAAAGUGAAAUGAAUGAAAAUGGACUGGACCCGAUCGGAGGACUGAGGAGAGCCAGGCCUCAGGGCACCUGGCAUUUGUUCCCUGGAUGGAUCAGGGGAACUGAGGAGAGCCGGGCCGCAGGGCACCCUGGCGUUUGUUCUCUGGGCGGAUCAGGGGAACCGAGGAGAGCCGGGCCGCAGGGCACCCUGGCGUUUGUUCCCUGGAUGGAUCAGGGGAACCGAGGAGAGCCGGGCCGCAGGGCACCCUGGCGUUUGUUCCCAGGGUAGGGGAGCUCUAGCAUGGCACACAGUAGCAGAAGAUAGCAGGUUGUGGUCGGCCCAUGUAGAGAUUUUAGAAACAUCUCACACUUCAUGAGAUCUUAGAAACAUCUCACACUUCAGGUUCAGUCACCCGUGUCCAGUGUCCACAGGAAGGCCUGUGCAAGGCCUCAUGGGAAACAGGGUGGUCCACCAGGCCUGCCCUCAAGGGGGCCCCGUCCCGGAGAAGCAGAUGCACAAAGCUGAGGGACACAGGUCGUGGGCCUUCUUGUGUGGCUCCUUGGCCACGGCACCGCAGCACCUGAGAGCCACCGCUGGAGAGGCAAACGAGCCCUGCAGCAGGCCCGAACCAGAGUUCCUGGGCACGGCCGCGUGCACCCAGUCGGGAGCUUCCCUGCUAAGGGUCAGCGAAGGCUUGGGGUGCUGGCAUUAGGGCUGGGUCCUGAGGGAAGAUGAGGGAGAGAAGUAUAGGAGGAGGAGGGAGUUGAAGGCUGCAGACAGGAGGAGGAAGGGGAGGGAGUAGGGCUGCCAGGGGAGGGGUGGAGGGCUGGAUAAGGAGGAGGGCUACAAAGAAAAGAGUAGAGCUGCAGGGAAGGAGGGUGGAGGGCUGCAGCGGGAGGAGGAGAGGGAGGAAGGCUGCAAGGGGAGGAGGAGUAUUGCAGGGGAGGGGGAGGAGAGCUGGCAGGGGAGGAGGAGGAGGGCUACAAAGAAAAGAGAACUGCAGUGGGAGAAGGAGAGUGGUGGAGAGUUGCAGGGGAAGGGGAGAGGGAGGAGGACUGGAGGAGGAGGAGGGAUGUAGGAGGAGGGUAGUGGAGGGCUGCAGAGGAGGAGGAAGAGGAGAAUAGGGAGGACAAAUCCACUCUAGCAGGGGAACGAAAGCAGCAUGGGGCAGACAAAUCCACUCUAGCAUUCCAAUCUCCCUAAGCCUUUGAAUCCCUUCUUCUACACUAACCAUGGGCGGCCAGGCAUGUCCAGUUAUCCCAUGGUGGGCCAUGUUUUGGCCCAUGUUUCAGCCAAGCAGCCAACCAACCAAUUAGAGCCCUUUCUAAAUGCGGAAUCUCUGCUUAGUGAGCCCGUAUCAAUAAACUUGGCCUGAUCUAACUCUGUGUUCCUCCUACCAUUCUCCCAGGCCCUCAAUAUGCAUUCCCACGGUCCUGGGAUUUCUAUGUAAACUGGAAAACUCACGUUCUCUUUGACACCGUGAGGCUGGGAGUUCCACAUGUGCUAUAAUCCAGCCACUGGAAGGGCGAGAUUCUGGGUUUGAUUUUCAGUAGUCUCAGACCCGCAGCUAAAGGAGGUAAGAGUCUCUCUUGGGACAGUCAUAACUUUCAGAUUAUUCAUGUGACACUUCAGCUGGGAAUCUGAAUCCUGAGCUCACUCCCAUGAUACUUUUUCUGAGAUGGAGUCUCACUCUGUAGCCCAGGCUGGAA
rnacentral:lncRNA from 1 species